rnacentral:rRNA from 1 species
GUUGAUCCCGCGGGAGGCCGCUGCUAGUGGGGUUCGUCAAACAUGCAAGUCUGAGCGCAAGCUCGGCGUAAGUCUCCGUAACACGUCGAUAAUCUGCCCUCUGGUCUGGGAUACCCUCGCGAAAGUGAGGAUAAACCCGGAUGGGAGAUGGAUACUGGAAUGUUCCUUCUCUGAAAAGCAAUGCCAGAGGGUGAGUCGGCGGCCGAUUAGGCUGUUGGUGAGGUAAAGGCUCACCAAACCUACGAUCGGUAGGGGGGAUGGAAGUCCACGCCCCGUGAAGGGCACUGAGACAGGGGCCCUAGUCCUAAGGGAUGCAGCAGUUGCGAACUCUCUACCCUGUGCGCAAGCGCGAUAGGGGGACCCCACGUGCUUACUCUUCGGAGUAGGCUUUUCUUAUGUUAAAAAGACAUAAGGAAUAAAUGGUGGGCAAUACUGGUGCCAGCCGCCGCGGUAACCCCGGAGCCAUGAGUGGGGGCCACGAUUAUUGGGUCUAAAGCGUCUGUAGCCGACAGAGUAAGUUCCUUGUGAAAUUGUUGUGCUUAACAUAACAGAUGGCGAGGAAUACUACUUUGUUAGGGACCGGGAGGAGGCAAGAGAAUGCUGAGGGGAGCGGUUAAAUGCUUUAAUCCUCAGUGGACUACCAAUAGCGAAGGCACUUGCCUAGAACGGGUCCGACGGUCAGAGACGAAAGCUGGGGGAGCAAAAGGGAUUAGAUACCCCUGUAGUCCCAGCUGUAAACACUGCAGACUGGAUGUUGCAUAUCCUUCGUGGGUAUGCAGUGUCGAAGCGAAGGCGUUAAGUCUGCCACCUGGGGAGUACGGUCGCAAGGCUGAAACUUUAAGGAAUAGGCGGGGGCGCACAACCAGGGGUGACGCGUGCGGUUCAAUUUAACACUACACAGAAAAUCUUACCCAGAUCGACGGCAGGAUGAAGGUCAGAUUCAAGGUUUUACCUAACAAGCCGAGAGAUAUUGCAUGGCCGUCGUCAGUUCGUGUCGCAAGAUGUCAGGUUAAGUCCUGCAACGAACAAGACCCUCACUUUUAUUUGCUAGCGGCUUCUCCGGAAGGACCGAGCACAAUAAAGGGACUGCCUGGGUAACCAGGAGGAAGGUGUGGGCAACGAUAGGUCUGUACGGUUCGAAUAUUUGGGGCUACACGCGCGCGGCAAUGGCAGAGACAGUCGGAUGCAACUCCGAAAGGAGAAGCAAAGCCUAGAAACUCUGUCUUAGUCCAGAUCGAGGGCUGUAACUCGCCCUCGUGACGCUGGAAUCCCUAGUAAUCGCUUGUCAACAACAAGCGGUGAAUACGUCCCGGUGCCUUGCACUCACUGCCCGUCAAGUCAACCGAGCAGGGUCUCAGUGAAGACAGGUCUUCGGGCUUGGAUGAACUGAGGCUCAGUGAGGUGGGUUAAGUCGACACAAGGUA